GGCUGCGGAGCCUACACAUGCAAGUCGAGCGGAUGAGAGGAGCUUGCUCCUUAAUUCAGCGGCGGACGGGUGAGUAAUGCCUAGGAAUCUGCCUGGUAGUGGGGGACAACGUUUCGAAAGGAACGCUAAUACCGCAUACGUCCUACGGGAGAAAGCAGGGGACCUUCGGGCCUUGCGCUAUCAGAUGAGCCUAGGUCGGAUUAGCUAGUUGGUGAGGUAAUGGCUCACCAAGGCGACGAUCCGUAACUGGUCUGAGAGGAUGAUCAGUCACACUGGAACUGAGACACGGUCCAGACUCCUACGGGAGGCAGCAGUGGGGAAUAUUGGACAAUGGGCGAAAGCCUGAUCCAGCCAUGCCGCGUGUGUGAAGAAGGUCUUCGGAUUGUAAAGCACUUUAAGUUGGGAGGAAGGGCAGUAAAUUAAUACUUUGCUGUUUUGACGUUACCGACAGAAUAAGCACCGGCUAACUCUGUGCCAGCAGCCGCGGUAAUACAGAGGGUGCAAGCGUUAAUCGGAAUUACUGGGCGUAAAGCGCGCGUAGGUGGUUCGUUAAGUUGGAUGUGAAAUCCCCGGGCUCAACCUGGGAACUGCAUUCAAAACUGUCGAGCUAGAGUAUGGUAGAGGGUGGUGGAAUUUCCUGUGUAGCGGUGAAAUGCGUAGAUAUAGGAAGGAACACCAGUGGCGAAGGCGACCACCUGGACUGAUACUGACACUGAGGUGCGAAAGCGUGGGGAGCAAACAGGAUUAGAUACCCUGGUAGUCCACGCCGUAAACGAUGUCAACUAGCCGUUGGGAGCCUUGAGCUCUUAGUGGCGCACCUAACGCAUUAAGUUGACCGCCUGGGGAGUACGGCCGCAAGGUUAAAACUCAAAUGAAUUGACGGGGGCCCGCACAAGCGGUGGAGCAUGUGGUUUAAUUCAAACCAACGCGAAGAACCUUACCAGGCCUUGACAUCCAAUGAACUUUCCAGAGAUGGAUUGGUGCCUUCGGGAACAUUGAGACAGGUGCUGCAUGGCUGUCUUCACCUCGUGUCUUGAGAUGUUGGUUAAUUCCCGUAACAACCGCACCCUUGUCCUUAUUUACCACCACUUCAUGGUGGCACUCUAAGGAAACUGCCGUGACAACCGGAGAAAGGUGGGGAUGACUUCAUUCAUCUUGCCCUUACGGCCGGGCUACCACUUCUACAUGGUCGGUACAAAGGUUUCCCACCCCCAGGUGAACUAUCCCUAAACCAUCUAAUCCGAUCCCAUCUCCACUCACUCCUGAAUCGAAUCCCUUUAUCCUAAUCAAAUUCCGGUAAAACUUUCCGGCCUUUU
rnacentral:rRNA from 1 species